AGAAAUCAGUGCUGCAUGUCUGAAGGUACAGCAAAUGCAAUGGCCAUGGGCAGGGGCAGGUUUUGUGUAGGAGCUGCUUUCGUCAUAGCAAUUUGGAUGACCGAAGUCUCUUGCGCCCCAUUUGGAGGGACCAACGGGAGAUCCAAAGAUGAGAACGGCCUGGGAAAUGUUCCACAAAAUGACCUAGCUGACGUCAUUAAAAUGCAACAACUAAUUGAGGCCCUGUAUCAAGACCACUAUAUUAUAGAAGAUGUUUCACAAACAUCGCUAAGCAAAGGUUGCAGGAAACACUAUAAGGCCGUUGGACUACAAUUGCUUCAGGCGAUCUCAAAUUACAAGGAUGUUAAAGAAGUAAGCCGAGAGUCGGAUCAGGUGAACGCCGAGGCAUCAUCAGGAACUGACCCCAAAGCAGUCGGGGCUGCUUUGGAUGCCAACGAUUUAGCCGCUCUGAAUAAUGUUUUAACUGGACAACAGCAUAAUGGACAAGAAACUGACCAUAACGAAUGUAUGCCUUGAUAAUAAAAACUUUUAAUUGAUACU